UACGAAGGGGACUAGCGUUGUUCGGAAUUACUGGGCGUAAAGCGCACGUAGGCGGAUUUGUUAGUCAGGGGUGAAAUCCCGGGGCUCAACCUCGGAACUGCCUUUGAUACUGCAAGUCUCGAGUCCGAUAGAGUGGGUGGAAUUCCUAGUGUAGAGGUGAAAUUCGUAGAUAUUAGGAAGAACACCGGUGGCGAAGGCGGCCCACUGGAUCGGUACUGACGCUGAGGUGCGAAAGCGUGGGGAGCAAACAGG
rnacentral:rRNA from 1 species